rnacentral:lncRNA from 1 species
UCGAAGGGCAUAUCCAUCGCAGGAUUUGCAAGCUGGUUCAUCUGGCGCUCGGCAUACCUGACUCGUGUUGUCAGCUGGAGAAAUAGGCUCUAUGUGGCUAUAAACUCGCUGACCACGAUGAUAUUCGGCCGUGACAUUGGCCGUAUCUAGGGUAUCUACGAAGGGCAUAUCCAUCGCAGGAUUUGCAAGCUGGUUCAUAUGGCGCUCGGCAUACCUGACUCGUGUUGUCAGCUGGAGAAAUAGGUUCUAUGUGGCUAUAAACUCGCUGACCACGAUGAUAUUCGGCCGUGACAUAGGCCGUAUCUAGGAUAUCUAUCUGUAGAUAUCUGGGAUCUGAACCGUACGGACUACAUACGAACGCUAAAAGAAACAUAGGUCUUGAUCACAUUGCAUCUUUUUUCCCUCCUGCUCCUCUCUCUAUCCCUUUCAGACUUGUCAGCCACGUGAGUUCCAAAUGCACAAAUUUUCUUUUGUAAAUUAUGAAUAAAUGAGAAUGAGAUGCAAUUUGAUGGUCUUCAAGUUACUUGGU